CCAGACUCCUACGGGAGGCAGCAGUGGGGAAUAUUGCGCAAUGGGGGAAACCCUGAUGCAGCGACGCCGCGUGAGUGAAGAAGUAUUUCGGUAUGUAAAGCUCUAUCAGCAGGGAAGAAAAAAGACGGUACCUGACUAAGAAGCCCCGGCUAACUACGUGCCAGCAGCCGCGGUAAUACGUAGGGGGCAAGCGUUAUCCGGAUUUACUGGGUGUAAAGGGAGCGUAGGCGGGAGGAUAAGUUGGACGUAUAAACUAUCGGCUCGGCCGGUAGAGGCGUUCAAAACUGUCCUUCUUGAGUGAAGUAGAGGUAAGCGGAAUUCCUAGUGUAGCGGUGAAAUGCGUAAAUAUUAGGAGGAACACCAGUGGCGAAGGCGGCUUACUGGGCUUUAACUGACGCUGAGGCUCGAAAGCGUGGGUAGCAAACAGGAUUAGAUACCCCAGUAGG
rnacentral:rRNA from 1 species